rnacentral:rRNA from 1 species
AGUGAACGCUGGCGGUAGGCCUAACACAUGCAAGUCGAACGGCAGCACAGUAAGAGCUUGCUCUUACGGGUGGCGAGUGGCGGACGGGUGAGGAAUACAUCGGAAUCUACUUUUUCGUGGGGGAUAACGUAGGGAAACUUACGCUAAUACCGCAUACGACCUACGGGUGAAAGCAUGGGAUCUUCGGACCUUGCGCGAUUGAAUGAGCCGAUGUCGGAUUAGCUAGUUGGCGGGGUAAAGGCCCACCAAGGCGACGAUCCGUAGCUGGUCUGAGGGGAUGAUCAGCCACACUGGAACUGAGACACGGUCCAGACUCCUACGGGAGGCAGCAGUGGGGAAUAUUGGACAAUGGGCGCAAGCCUGAUCCAGCCAUACCGCGUGGGUGAAGAAGGCCUUCGGGUUGUAAAGCCCUUUUGUUGGGAAAGAAAAGCAGCAGGUUAAUACCCCGCUGUUCUGACGGUACCCAAAGAAUAAGCACCGGCUAACUUCGUG